rnacentral:lncRNA from 1 species
UUCUUCAUGCUUUGCCAGAUUUGUAUCAUUUUUUUUAUUCUUUUAUUUUUCAGUAUAAUCACUAGAGUAAUGACCAUACUUCUGACAAUUGAAACACUGAAUGUGACUUUUGUGAGAUUUUCGUCCACCACCUCUUCCUCUACUUGCAACACCACCUCCGUGGUUGCUUUGGUAUGAGGGUCUUCUUUGAAUAAAUGAAUUUCC